rnacentral:rRNA from 1 species
GGUUAAGCGACUAAGCGUACACGGUGGAUGCCCUGGCAGUCAGAGGCGAUGAAGGACGUGCUAAUCUGCGAUAAGCGUCGGUAAGGUGAUAUGAACCGUUAUAACCGGCGAUUUCCGAAUGGGGAAACCCAGUGUGAUUCGUCACACUAUCAUUAACUGAAUCCAUAGGUUAAUGAGGCGAACCGGGGGAACUGAAACAUCUAAGUACCCCGAGGAAAAGAAAUCAACCGAGAUUCCCCCAGUAGCGGCGAGCGAACGGGGAGCAGCCCAGAGCCUGAAUCAGUGUGUGUGUUAGUGGAAGCGUCUGGAAAGGCGCGCGAUACAGGGUGACAGCCCCGUACACAAAAAUGCACAUGCUGUGAGCUCGAUGAGUAGGGCGGGACACGUGGUAUCCUGUCUGAAUAUGGGGGGACCAUCCUCCAAGGCUAAAUACUCCUGACUGACCGAUAGUGAACCAGUACCGUGAGGGAAAGGCGAAAAGAACCCCGGCGAGGGGAGUGAAAAAGAACCUGAAACCGUGUACGUACAAGCAGUGGGAGCACGCUUCGGCGUGUGACUGCGUACCUUUUGUAUAAUGGGUCAGCGACUUAUAUUCUGUAGCAAGGUUAACCGAAUAGGGGAGCCGAAGGGAAACCGAGUCUUAACUGGGCGUUAAGUUGCAGGGUAUAGACCCGAAACCCGGUGAUCUAGCCAUGGGCAGGUUGAAGGUUGGGUAACACUAACUGGAGGACCGAACCGACUAAUGUUGAAAAAUUAGCGGAUGACUUGUGGCUGGGGGUGAAAGGCCAAUCAAACCGGGAGAUAGCUGGUUCUCCCCGAAAGCUAUUUAGGUAGCGCCUCGUGAAUUCAUCUCCGGGGGUAGAGCACUGUUUCGGCAAGGGGGUCAUCCCGACUUACCAACCCGAUGCAAACUGCGAAUACCGGAGAAUGUUAUCACGGGAGACACACGGCGGGUGCUAACGUCCGUCGUGAAGAGGGAAACAACCCAGACCGCCAGCUAAGGUCCCAAAGUCAUGGUUAAGUGGGAAACGAUGUGGGAAGGCCCAGACAGCCAGGAUGUUGGCUUAGAAGCAGCCAUCAUUUAAAGAAAGCGUAAUAGCUCACUGGUCGAGUCGGCCUGCGCGGAAGAUGUAACGGGGCUAAACCAUGCACCGAAGCUGCGGCAGCGACACUAUGUGUUGUUGGGUAGGGGAGCGUUCUGUAAGCCUGUGAAGGUGUACUGUGAGGUAUGCUGGAGGUAUCAGAAGUGCGAAUGCUGACAUAAGUAACGAUAAAGCGGGUGAAAAGCCCGCUCGCCGGAAGACCAAGGGUUCCUGUCCAACGUUAAUCGGGGCAGGGUGAGUCGACCCCUAAGGCGAGGCCGAAAGGCGUAGUCGAUGGGAAACAGGUUAAUAUUCCUGUACUUGGUGUUACUGCGAAGGGGGGACGGAGAAGGCUAUGUUGGCCGGGCGACGGUUGUCCCGGUUUAAGCGUGUAGGCUGGUUUUCCAGGCAAAUCCGGAAAAUCAAGGCUGAGGCGUGAUGACGAGGCACUACGGUGCUGAAGCAACAAAUGCCCUGCUUCCAGGAAAAGCCUCUAAGCAUCAGGUAACAUCAAAUCGUACCCCAAACCGACACAGGUGGUCAGGUAGAGAAUACCAAGGCGCUUGAGAGAACUCGGGUGAAGGAACUAGGCAAAAUGGUGCCGUAACUUCGGGAGAAGGCACGCUGAUAUGUAGGUGAAGCGACUUGCUCGUGGAGCUGAAAUCAGUCGAAGAUACCAGCUGGCUGCAACUGUUUAUUAAAAACACAGCACUGUGCAAACACGAAAGUGGACGUAUACGGUGUGACGCCUGCCCGGUGCCGGAAGGUUAAUUGAUGGGGUUAGCGCAAGCGAAGCUCUUGAUCGAAGCCCCGGUAAACGGCGGCCGUAACUAUAACGGUCCUAAGGUAGCGAAAUUCCUUGUCGGGUAAGUUCCGACCUGCACGAAUGGCGUAAUGAUGGCCAGGCUGUCUCCACCCGAGACUCAGUGAAAUUGAACUCGCUGUGAAGAUGCAGUGUACCCGCGGCAAGACGGAAAGACCCCGUGAACCUUUACUAUAGCUUGACACUGAACAUUGAGCCUUGAUGUGUAGGAUAGGUGGGAGGCUUUGAAGUGUGGACGCCAGUCUGCAUGGAGCCGACCUUGAAAUACCACCCUUUAAUGUUUGAUGUUCUAACGUUGGCCCCUGAUCGGGGUUGCGGACAGUGUCUGGUGGGUAGUUUGACUGGGGCGGUCUCCUCCUAAAGAGUAACGGAGGAGCACGAAGGUUGGCUAAUCCUGGUCGGACAUCAGGAGGUUAGUGCAAUGGCAUAAGCCAGCUUGACUGCGAGCGUGACGGCGCGAGCAGGUGCGAAAGCAGGUCAUAGUGAUCCGGUGGUUCUGAAUGGAAGGGCCAUCGCUCAACGGAUAAAAGGUACUCCGGGGAUAACAGGCUGAUACCGCCCAAGAGUUCAUAUCGACGGCGGUGUUUGGCACCUCGAUGUCGGCUCAUCACAUCCUGGGGCUGAAGUAGGUCCCAAGGGUAUGGCUGUUCGCCAUUUAAAGUGGUACGCGAGCUGGGUUUAGAACGUCGUGAGACAGUUCGGUCCCUAUCUGCCGUGGGCGCUGGAGAACUGAGGGGGGCUGCUCCUAGUACGAGAGGACCGGAGUGGACGCAUCACUGGUGUUCGGGUUGUCAUGCCAAUGGCACUGCCCGGUAGCUAAAUGCGGAAGAGAUAAGUGCUGAAAGCAUCUAAGCACGAAACUUGCCCCGAGAUGAGUUCUCCCUGACUCCCUGAGAGUCCUGAAGGAACGUUGAAGACGACGACGUUGAUAGGCCGGGUGUGUAAGCGCAGCGAUGCGUUGAGCUAACCGGUACUAAUGAACCGUGAGGCUUAACCUU